AGCACGGGNNCUUGCUCCUGGUGGCGAGUGNNGAACGGGNNNAGUAAUACAUCGGANNGUACCCAGGAGUGGGGGAUAACGUAGCGAAAGUUACGCUAAUACCGCAUAUUCUGUGAGCAGGAAAGCGGGGGAUCGCAAGACCUCGCGCUCUUGGAGCGGCCGAUGUCGGAUUAGCUAGUUGGUGAGGUAAAAGCUCACCAAGGCGACGAUCCGUAGCAGGUCUGAGAGGAUGAUCUGCCACACUGGGACUGAGACACGGNCCANNNG
rnacentral:rRNA from 1 species